CACGUAGGAGGCGAGCGUUGUCCGGAAUCAUUGGGCGUAAAGAGCGCGCAGGCGGCUUGGCAAGUCGGGUGUGAAAUCCCGGGGCUCAACCCCGUGACUGCAUCCGAAACUGGCAGGCUAGAGUACGAAAGAGGGUCGCGGAAUUCCCGGUGUAGAGGUGAAAUUCGUAGAUAUCGGGAGGAACACCGGUGGCGAAGGCGGCGACCUGGGUCGAUACUGACGCUGAGGUGCGAAAGCGUGGGGAGCAAACAGG
rnacentral:rRNA from 1 species